UGUUGGUUUGACUGCAUUUCUUUGCCAUUUAGAUACAGGCAUUUGCAGUAGUAUUCUAAAAUGAGGCGUCCUGUAUGUAAAAGUCUGAAAA